rnacentral:lncRNA from 1 species
AUUGGAAGCCAGUUAGCAACCUUCCCCUGUUUCCAUUUUACCAACCUUUCCUGGCCUCUGGGGCUCACACAUGAGGUUUGCAAAACACUGCAUGCAUAGCCAGACUUCCUGGACAUAACCAGAGCAUCAGGGCUCAGAAAAGCCAGCUCAGAGAUAUGACUAUUAGUUUAUUCCUGUGGGAAAAGCUCCUUCCCUGAAAGAUACACGGAAUGUGCUUGCUGUCAAAUCCGUCAAAACUAUGCCAUGUAAAGCUAUAGGGGGAGAUAAAAACAACUUCUGAUAAAAACUGAAGAGACAAUUGCAGAGAGGCCUGUUUUGCGGAUGUGGCCUACUUGUGAUUCUUUUGUCCAUCAUCACUCAGCAAGCCAGAAGUUAGAGAACCGGCGUUCGAACUCAUGUGUACAAUAACAUUCUGUUGGUCAAAACUGCUGCUUCAGCACCUGGCGUUCCCCCUGAAUUAUUUUCCUUUCUUGGCUCAUCUUUCUUUGUAUAGUGUUCAAGGCAAUUUUCUAGUCCAUGUGAAUUUGUACAAUCUCUUCUCCUAGAUCCAUGUAAACAUUUUCACAUGUUCAUCCAAAUUCUUCCCUUCGUCCGCACCCCUACUGAGCUCUCUUUGAAGUGGAGAACUUGGCAGAUCCUUCCCAGUGAAGCAGCAUGCUUCCUCCUGGGCGUUUGAGCUGUGUGUUGGGUUUAACCUCCUCUUAACUGGCCCGCUUGCUGAUAGUAUAAUUGUAAACCAGUUCCAUUUCCCUCCAGUGAGUAUCUCUAUCCUCAAGAAGACCACCUACCUUUGUUCUGCUGCACUAUUUGUGGUUUUCUGCUCGUGUCCAUCGAAUGGAGGACGAUCCUUCCAAAAAGACCAUGGAACUAGCUGGCCAUCCACACUCCCUAUCUUCCACCUUGACAGAGACAACUACCGAGUUAGUGGGAAGACUACCAAGGUAAGCAGGUUGGCUUUGCUUAUUCUGUGCAUGAUUUCUGAUAUACCUCAAAAGAAAUACCGUAUCUUCUUGGAGAGGCCUUUGUAA